rnacentral:ncRNA from 1 species
CAAAGGCUUGGUCCUGACUUUACUGUCAGCUUUAGCUAGACUUACACAUGCAAGUCUCCGCGCCCCCGUGAAAAUGCCCAUAGUCCCCCGCCCGGGGACAAGGAGCUGGUAUCAGGCACAACCUUUUUAGCCCAUGACGCCUUGCUUAGCCACACCCCCAAGGGUAUUCAGCAGUGAUAAACAUUAAGCUAUAAGUGAAAACUUGACUUAGUCAAAGCUAAGAGGGCCGGUAAAACUCGUGCCAGCCACCGCGGUUAUACGAGAGGCCCAAGUUGACAGACCACGGCGUAAAGAGUGGUUAGGGAAAUUUCCAAACUAAAGCCGAACGCUUCCGAAGCUGUUAUACGCACCUGGAAGUAUGAAGAUCAACGACGAAAGUGGCUUUACCUUUAACCUGAACCCACGAAAGCUAAGGAACAAACUGGGAUUAGAUACCCCACUAUGCUUAGCCCUAAACAUUGACUGUGGACUACACCCCACAUCCGCCCGGGCACUACGAACGUUAGUUUGAAACCCAAAGGACUUGGCGGUGCUUUAUAUCCCCCUAGAGGAGCCUGUUCUAGAACCGAUGAUCCCCGUUCAACCUCACCCUCUCUUGCCCUGUCCCGCCUAUAUACCGCCGUCGUCAGCUUACCCUGUGAAGGCCCAAUAGUAAGCAUAAUUGGCAUCGCCCAAAACGUCAGGUCGAGGUGUAGCGAAUGAGAGGGGAAGAAAUGGGCUACAUUCGCUAACAACUAGCGUAAAACGAAUAUUGCAUUGAAAUAUGUAGUUGAAGGAGGAUUUAGUAGUAAGCGAAAAGUAGAGCGUUUCGCUGAAAUCGGCCCUAAAGCGUGCACACACCGCCCGUCACCCUCUCCGACCUUUCACACUACCCAUUUCUCUAAAAACCCAUCAACCCUUUAAGGAGAGGAAAGUCGUAACAUGGUAAGCGUAUCGGAAGCUGCGCUUGGAGUAAC